CGUGUAGGCGGCUCGGUAAGUGGGAUGUGAAAUCCCCAGGCUCACCCUGGGAACGGCAUCCCAAACUGCUGGGCUUGAGUGCGGGAGAGGAUGGGGGAAUUCCUGGUGUAGCGGUGAAAUGCGUAGAUAUCAGGAGGAACACCGGUGGCGAAGGCGCCCAUCUGGCCCGUUACUGACGCUGAGGCGCGAAAGCUAGGGGAGCAAACGGGAUUAGAUACCCCGGUAGUCCUAGCCGUAAACGGUGGGCACUAGGUGUUGGAGGCAUUGACCCCUCCAGUGCCGCAGCUAACGCAUUAAGUGCCCCGCCUGGGGAGUACGGCCGCAAGGCUGAA
rnacentral:rRNA from 1 species